rnacentral:lncRNA from 1 species
AUGGUAUUUUACAGGCUCAAAUUGAGGGGAAGGAACUCUUCUCGCUGCUGUGGGAUGGUGAGCACAGUGAUCGUGCUCCUCUCUGCGGUGGGGAAGCUCUGGCAGAGGGAUGCUCUCCAAGUGUGGUUUCUGUGCCUAUCCCCUGUUUUGGAUGCCAAAGACCUUCCUUUAUUGGAUCCACGUUUUCUGGUGGACAAUCCGGCUGUGGCUUGUCUGUCUCAGUGGAUGAUGCAGUGUCCCUUGAAGGCAGUGCUACUGCAGCACACCCAAAAAACAGUGAAAGGAAAGCUGUACUGUCUCCAGGAUGCCAAUGACACCUCUGCAGGAGCUUGAUUCCAGUGCUGGACCUGACUACCAGUGCAAAGACCAGUGCCACCUCAGGAGGUAAGGGUCAUGGCUGGUACACGAUGGAGAAGAGAGAGGGAGGUGUUUGGUUUGAACUUCGUGUGGAUGGAGGCAGCAAAGGACAGGGAGUGACUGUGGAGCUGUUUGGAAGAGAGGCCUCAGGGACAGGGAGAGGUUUGGUCCAAGAACUACAUGAAGAAUCAGUCAUUGUCAGCACCACCAGCCUCUUGUGGAUGUCAUGGUAGAUGGGUGUCAGGGACCACAGGUACAUCUGACAAGAAGAGAUAAUUUCUACAGAUGGCAGUUGUAUUCCUGUUCACUCACUAAAGGGAGAGGCCAGUAUUGCUUGGGAGAAGGAGAGAUUUAAAUACUGAGGGAAAGAAAAUGAGUGAAAUGAAUCAAUGGUAGGCUGUAUCUACUGGUGAAGGGAGGCUGGCAGACAUCUCUGUGUUACCAGAAUGUAUGUGUCCCUAUUCAGGCUAAUACAAAUAUCACUCUCCAAAACAACUUUUGGGCAUGCUUUGGGGGUCAAGACCAAUCCAUAGCCACUCCUAAGAUGUGGCUUGUGAGCAUACAAUCUAGUUUGGAAAGUGAGAUACUUUAAUAAUGUGAAUAUGAGCUUCAGUGCCUGAGAGUGGUUGUAGUCACUAUUCACUAGCAAAGUUGAAGCAUUAGAUAUUUGAUAAAGUUUUUUGCACCUAAAUUAGGGCAAGAAAGUCCUGGCCAAACUGUCUAAGAAAGAGGAAAUCUUGGGCAUGAAGUUCUUAUAAAUUGGGGGCAGAGUGGUUGGAAAGUGGCCCAGCAGAAAAGGACCUUGGGGUGCUGGUUGACAGAAGCUGAACAAGAGCCAGGGUGUGCCCAGGUGGCCAAGAAGGCCAGUGGCAUCCUGGCCUGUAUCAACAAUGGUGUGGCCAGCAGGACCAGGGCAGUGAUUGUCCCCUAUACUCAGCACUGGCGAGGGCACACCUCGAGUCCUGUGUUCAGUUCU